UGCCUCUGCUUCGAUAAAGUUGUUCUUGCUUACCACCUAAGUUACAGCUCAGCCUUCUUCUUGAUACUAACUAAACUCUAAGGGCCCAUGGUGCUCCCGGUUCCUGAUGGCAGGAUCUGUACUCAUCAUGUAUGCAGCCUAGUCUUGGAAAGAGUCCAGGGUGGGAAAGAAAGAGGCAUGUUUACGCUUACACUUAAUGGGCAACAGGGGAACACAGUAGACCCCAGAGCAUUUGAAUGGAAAAUGUAUUCUCUGAAUGUGCGUGAGAAGAAAGCCUACUAGAAGUAUGUACUUCCGUCUCCUGGAAUGUUUCAGCUUUCAGCAUUUGAUCCACAUUAAUUCUGAAUCCACUUUUAGUGUUUUCACUCACUGUAAUGCUUUGAAACAUCUGUUUGUCAUUUGGAAUAAACAGUUAUUAUGAUAAGAGUUGGA